rnacentral:rRNA from 1 species
AAAGAAACUAACAAGGAUUCCCCUAGUAACGGCGAGUGAAGCGGGAAGAGCUCAAAUUUGAAAGCUGUUGCCUUUGGUAACCGCAUUGUAAUCUCGAGAUCUGUUUUCCGCGCUGGACCAUGUACAAGUCCCUUGGAAUAGGGCGUCAUAGAGGGUGAGAAUCCCGUACUUGACAUGGCCUCCCAGUGCUUUGUGAUACAGGCUCAACGAGUCGAGUUGUUUGGGAAUGCAGCUCAAAAUGGGUGGUAAAUUCCAUCUAAAGCUAAAUAUUGGGGAGAGACCGAUAGCGAACAAGUACCGUGAGGGAAAGAUGAAAAGCACUUUGGAAAGAGAGUUAAACAGUACGUGAAAUUGUCAAAAGGGAACCGUUUAAAGUUAGUCAUGCUUGCCUGGACUCAGCCUUGCUUUUGCUUGGUGCAUUUCCAGGUUAGCAGGUCAGCAUCGGUUUUGACUGCUGGAUAAGGGUGAGAGGAAUGUGGCACCUUCGGGUGUGUUAUAGCCUUUCACUGGAUGCAGCAGUUGGGACCGAGGAACGCAGCGCGC